rnacentral:rRNA from 1 species
CCUACGGGAGGCUGCAGUGGGGAAUAUUGCACAAUGGGGGAAACCCUGAUGCAGCGACGCCGCGUGAGUGAAGAAGGAAUUCGGUAUGUAAAGCUCUAGCAGCAGGGAAGAAAAUGACGGUAACUGAGUAAGAAGCCCCGGCUAACGACGUGCCAGCAGCCGCGGUAAUACGUAGGGGGCAAGCGUUAUCCGGAUUUACUGGGUGUAAAGGGAGCGUAGACGGCCGUGCAAGUCUGGAGUGAAAGGCGGGGGCUCCACCCCCGGACUGCUCUGGAAACGGUACGGCUGGAGUGCAGGAGAGGUCAGUGGAAUUCCUUGUGUAGCGGUCACAUGCUUAGAUAUUAG